rnacentral:rRNA from 1 species
UACGUAGGGGGCAAGCGUUGUCCGGAUUUAUUGGGCGUAAAGCGCGUGUAGGUGGCCAAGUAGGUCCGCUGUGAAAACUUGAGGCUCAACCUCAAGCUGUCGGUGGAAACCCCUUGGCUUGAGGCCGGGAGGGGGUAGCGGAAUUCCCAGUGUAGCGGUGAAAUGCGUAGAGAUCGGGAAGAACGCCGGCGGCGAAAGCGACUCUCUGGUCGGAUCCUGACGCUGAGGCGCGAAAGCUAGGGGAGCAAACGGG